rnacentral:lncRNA from 1 species
UCUUUGUGUCAACGUUCUUUAUGGUGCUUUGCUCGUUUACCAUUCGUAGUUGUUCUUGGUUCAAGUGCGAACGAAACUUCCUUGAGUCUUCAAAACCAAAAUCCAUUCUAACUCAAGAGUAGACUCAAUUCUAAGCACUCAAGGAUUGAUAGCCGGCUUACAAUACUUGAAGGACCAAGUGAGGAAGCCAAGUGUGAAAAGUGUG